UACGUAGGGAGCAAGCGUUGUCCGGAAUCAUUGGGCGUAAAGCGCGCGUAGGCGGCCCCGUAAGUCCGCUGUGAAAGUCAAAGGCUCAACCUUUGAAAGCCGGUGGAUACUGUGGGGCUAGAGUCCGGAAGAGGCGAGUGGAAUUCCUGGUGUAGCGGUGGAAUGCGCAGAUAUCAGGAGGAACAACAAUAGCGAAGGCAGCUCGCUGGGACGGUACUGACGCUAAGGCGCGAAAGCGUGGGGAGCGAACAGG
rnacentral:rRNA from 1 species